rnacentral:rRNA from 1 species
CUCCAUGAAGUUGGAUUCGCUAGUAAUCGCGCAUCAGCCAUGGCGCGGUGAAUACGUUCCCGGGCCUUGUACACACCGCCCGUCAAGCCAUGGGAGCCGGGGGUGCCUGAAGUUCGUGACCGCAAGGAGCGACCUAGGGCAAAACUGGUGACUGGGGCUAAGUCGUAACAAGGUACC